rnacentral:tRNA from 40 species
GGAGACAUGGCAGAGUGGUAAUGCAGCGGACUCGAAAUCCGCCGAACCGAUGUAGAAUCGGCGCCGGGGUUCGAAUCCCCGUGUCUCCUUCA